UACGUAGGGGGCGAGCGUUAUCCGGAAUUAUUGGGCGUAAAGAGUGCGUAGGUGGCCAUGUAAGCGCGGGGUGAAAGGCAAUAGCUUAACUAUUGUAAGCCUUGCGAACUGUGUGGCUUGAGUGCAGGAGAGGAAAGUGGAAUUCCUAGUGUAGCGGUGAAAUGCGUAGAUAUUAGGAGGAACACCAGUGGCGAAGGCGACUUUCUGGACUGUAACUGACACUGAGGCACGAAAGCGUGGGGAGCAAACAAGAUUAGAUACCCUGGUAGUCCACGCCGUAAACGAUGAGCACUAGGUGUCGGGGUCGCAAGACUUCGGUGCCGCAGUUAACGCAUUAAGUGCUCCGCCUGGGGAGUACGCACGCAAGUGUGAA
rnacentral:rRNA from 1 species